rnacentral:rRNA from 1 species
GGUUAAGCGACUAAGCGUACACGGUGGAUGCCCUGGCAGUCAGAGGCGAUGAAGGGCGUGCUAAUCUGCGAUAAGCGCCGGUAAGGUGAUAUGAACCGUUAUAACCGGCGAUACCCGAAUGGGGAAACCCAGUGUGAUUCGUCACACUAUCAUUAACUGAAUCCAUAGGUUAAUGAGGCGAACCGGGGGAACUGAAACAUCUAAGUACCCCGAGGAAAAGAAAUCAACCGAGAUUCCCCCAGUAGCGGCGAGCGAACGGGGAGGAGCCCAGAGCCUGAAUCAGCAUGUGUGUUAGUGGAAGCGUCUGGAAAGGCGCGCGAUACAGGGUGACAGCCCCGUACACAAAAGCGCAUGUGCUGUGAGCUCGAUGAGUAGGGCGGGACACGUGGUAUCCUGUCUGAAUAUGGGGGGACCAUCCUCCAAGGCUAAAUACUCCUGACUGACCGAUAGUGAACCAGUACCGUGAGGGAAAGGCGAAAAGAACCCCGGCGAGGGGAGUGAAAAAGAACCUGAAACCGUGUACGUACAAGCAGUGGGAGCACAGGUUUACCUGUGUGACUGCGUACCUUUUGUAUAAUGGGUCAGCGACUUAUAUUCUGUAGCAAGGUUAACCGUAUAGGGGAGCCGCAGGGAAACCGAGUCUUAACCGGGCGUUAAGUUGCAGGGUAUAGACCCGAAACCCGGUGAUCUAGCCAUGGGCAGGUUGAAGGUUGGGUAACACUAACUGGAGGACCGAACCGACUAAUGUUGAAAAAUUAGCGGAUGACCUGUGGCUGGGGGUGAAAGGCCAAUCAAACCGGGAGAUAGCUGGUUCUCCCCGAAAGCUAUUUAGGUAGCGCCUCGUGAAUUCAUCUCCGGGGGUAGAGCACUGUUUCGGCUAGGGGGCCAUCCCGGCUUACCAACCCGAUGCAAACUGCGAAUACCGGAGAAUGUUAUCACGGGAGACACACGGCGGGUGCUAACGUCCGUCGUGAAGAGGGAAACAACCCAGACCGCCAGCUAAGGUCCCAAAGUCAUGGUUAAGUGGGAAACGAUGUGGGAAGGCCCAGACAGCCAGGAUGUUGGCUUAGAAGCAGCCAUCAUUUAAAGAAAGCGUAAUAGCUCACUGGUCGAGUCGGCCUGCGCGGAAGAUGUAACGGGGCUAAACCAUGCACCGAAGCUGCGGCAGCGAACGUAUCACCCAAGACAACUUUGCGGAGUUGACGAUUGACGGAGCGAAGCGACGUCAAUGCGUUUUACAAAGUCGAGUUGGCUUAGGGAUACGUUCGUUGGGUAGGGGAGCGUUCUGUAAGCCUG